rnacentral:tRNA from 1 species
AAAUCCAGGGUUUUUCUAAUACCUUAUCCGAAUUUGCACUUCGGGCUGCUGGAUUUUUGGCUUUUGGCUCAUUGACUGAGCUAUGCCAUGCUGAUCAGAGGGAUA